UCUUACUCCAAAAAAAACAAAAAACAAAAAAUGCCAAGCAUUGCAUUUGCAGCUAAAUGAAUAAAAGCAAAUUUCACAUAGUCAGCCACAUGUAAAAUCGCAGCAUCUGAAUGUUUCUUUUCUGUAGGAAUUUUAAUUGUACUUUAGAGUUGAUCUUAGGAGAGUAUCACUUUGAUAGCAUGGUUGUAAAACUUGAGUCAUCAUGCUAGUUUUGAAAUAGUCAUUUUGCUUAUUCUUUGAGAAGGCUUUUUCUUAAGUAUGCCUCCCAUUAUGGAGUAAAGAUAGAAAACAAAGCCAUUUGUAAACAUUUAUACAAUAAUAUGAUAUUUACAAAUACAAUUUGGGGAUUAUUUUGAGUUCAUUAAAUUUGCAGCAUUGUAUAAGAUACAGGCUCUUGUAAAUUUGUAAAUAAAAGUGCAAAUAUCCAAAAAAAUUGAUUAAUACAUCCACAAAUGUAAACAGGAAAACCUGAUAAAUAUAUGCUGAUGUAUGAAAAUAUUUUAUGCAGUUAUCCUUUGACUGAAUCUUCCUGCUUUCAUAAGACACUAAAUCACUUGACUCUUUAUCUAAUAAUGUAAUUUUAGGUGUGUGAGAGUAUGUACAUUUUCCUUCUUUCAAGCUUUGGUUUUUAAAUUUGGCUUGAAUUUUAUUUAGGUCAAUUAGUUUACAUAAGAUAGUUUGCCUAUAAUAUCAGGAUUUUACUGAAUAAAAUAAACGAACCACUUCAUAAAAGAAAUUUAUAUUUUUAUUGCUGUAAUUAAGGAGACAUUUCUUAAAUCUAAAUUGGAAAACAGCUGUUAUUCCAAAUAUCGAAAUCAUAGGACUUGUAUUUAGUUGCCUUUGUUUGAGUAAAGAAUUGAAGCAAGUGUCCGUAGGUUUUUAUCCUUUCUCUCUCUCUCUCCUUUCUUGUCUGCUUUCUCUUCACCACACACAAGCCAAAAAAUGGUUUCACAUGAAACAUUCAACUAAUAGCAAUUCGUUGGUGAGACAAUCUAUAUCAUUUCCACAAGUUUUAAUUUCUCUUUACCAGUUUUAAAUUUCUCUUUACCAUUGUAAACACUUAAUUUAGACCCAUCCCAUCCCCUAGGUGGCAUCUAAGUAUGAGCAUUAUUAGAUAUAUCUUAAUGAUAUUCAAAGAUAUCCCAUUCAAAUUUUGGUACACCUUGUCUCCCUAUGUGUUAUAUUGAACUAUUAUUGCACAGCUGUAAUAAUGACGAUAACAUUAAAUUUAGGCAGAUUCUCUUGAGUUCAAGCUCACCAAGAGUUCUUAACAGAAAUUUCUGCCAUUACGUAUGGCAGACUAAUUAUUUGUAUCUCAUAGACUAUUCUGAGGCCAUUUUAAUAUUGCACAUACUACAAUCACACAUUCUCUCAAAAGGUUUACUGAGACAUUUCUGACAAUGUUUAGAAUUUGACGUUAAUUAGAAUUACAUUAGCAUAUACUUCUUUGAACUUAUCAUUAACACAAUGAUAGGUAAUAAUUGAUCAAAGUCAGCAUUGCUCCCUGCUUUCCUUUUGUUCAACCGGGAUGUAUCUUUUUCAAUACAGAUUCAUCAUUGUUGGAUAUCUUGCAUACAGUAAGCACUCCACUGUUAUCCAAAGGGUAAAAGCAUUUAAAGAAAAAAAAAUUGUGAUCUUUUGAUUCGGCUCAUAACUUACCUAUUAUCUAUCCACCUGAUAUGAUCACAUGUGAAUAUCUGCAGUACUUGUUAAGUUUAAAUACUUAGUUUUCAAUGUUCUUCUUAGUUUAACCCACUAAAACUUCCAAAUUUAGAAAACCAACAGUAGACAAUCCUCAUAGUCCCUCUGGACUUUAGAUGCAGCUCUCCACGUUUACUUAAAAUCACCCCUUGUCAAUGACUUGCUCGCUACAUUUCUGCCUAUGUCUACACAAGAAAAGAAAAAUGAAGGACAGGAUACAGUUUGAGUUAAAACAAAAUUUAAAAAAAUUCUUGACAUUCGGGGAGAUAAGAGUUUAAGGCGAUCUUCACCAAACAAAUUCUCUAGAUGAUUGUUCAACUUUCUCUAUUUCUUGUGUAGGCAGAGACUCGCUUGUUUAAGGCAAGGAAACAUUCUCUCCAUCAACUGUGAGAGCAAGAACACCAAUUUAAUUCUUAUUCCCUCAAAAUUAUUUAAAAUAAUAAUAACAGUAUUACCAGGAAAUUUGUAUUCAAAAACUACAUACUCAAAUGGAGCACCUUCUAAAGUUUCUAACAUUUAUUUCUGAAUAUGAAUACUCAUAUCUGCAUUGCUUAGAACACAUGCUUUAUGACCAAGGGUUCUAUAGAGUAAAAUAUGCUGAAAUUAACAUGUUUUCUUCAUUUCUUUAAAGAAUCAAAUCAUAAAUUGUGUGAAGGUAGUUUUGUUUUUAAGAUUUCAUAAUAUGGGGAGUAGGAAGUACAAAUUUUAGUAUUCCAACUGUCUCCCUCUGUGCUCAUUCAUUCCUUCAUCUCCCUUGCUCAUAAUUCAUUCAUUGAACACAACCUCUUUUUUUCUCUCAAACCAACUAGAAAUACUAAAACGUUUAACAUGGUUUCAGAAGAAAGGGCUCUCACCCUAGGAAAACUUCUACAGAAAGACUGGCUGGAUGCUAACAUGCUGCACCCAGAGAGUGCGGGAGCCUUUGGUACCACGUUUUCUGAUCCUCCCACAUUCCCCUUAGCCACUAAACCUAAAGAAAAACAAGGGCUUUGGCUUAUUGGAAAUUCAAAGAAGAUUUUAAAGGGUGAGAUUGGUGCUACUUUCUACUCCUUCAAAGAAAAAGCUUCUUAUCCUCAAAAGUUGCUGAGCUUUUGAUAGUGUUGUUGCUGAAGGAGAUUCAUCACCCAGUCAGGUGCGCGGUUCUCAACCUGGAACUAAGACUGAUUUCAGGGGAACAGGUGAAAUAGAAGCGUUCCCUGAACUCAGCUAAGACGUUUCUGAAUGAAUGGAGGGAAUCUGAGCAAUGUAAAUAGUUGUGCUCUUUAAGACAACAAUAACAAAAAGUUUAGUAGCACAAGGUUCGUUUUUUGUCUUUCUUUUUUCAUGCUUGCUCAUACCCUAAACACUCCAGGUGCUCAGAAACACACAGAGUAACUGUACAAAAGCCAAGAUCACCUCGUGUCUAUGUCAAUUUCCUGAGGUGACUGUCAGAAAAGCUGGAGCGGCACCACCUUGUCGGGGGAAUGAGGUCAGAAUUCACUGGGAGAUCCAUUUGCUCUGACAAGGAAUACGGCGGGACAGUGGGGCUUCCGAGCAAGGCUUCGAAAAAGGAGGGAAGGUGGGUCAGGGGCGGACUUUGUGCAGAAGGCUUUGUCAGCGCCAGAACGGGUGAAAGGUGGCAGAUGGGGGAGUCUGCCGUCUGGCAGAAGCGGGAAGUCAGAAAGGAGGAACGCAGGGACGGGUUGGCCUCGCUUUCCUGUUGUGGCUUUAUUUAGACUAUGAAUCAGUUCUGUUUAUUGGCAAGCUACGAAGACACAUGAAAAUAGAUACUGUAUUUAGCUCCUGGACACUCGCAAGCUCGAGGAGGUGAAUCUAUACAUUCGAAUAUGCCUCUGUGAGCAGAAUCAUAAUAGCUUCAGAUUCUGAAGACUUGAGCAGAUUUCUUUGCCCAGAGACAUUUCACCAGGUUCCUGUGGUUCACUGCUAGAGAGAAAGCAUAUCCUGUGCUGAGACAUAGAAGGCCUCAGAAGAUUGCACCUGGUCUCUCUGGACUCCAUUCAAUAUUGUGAUAUUACUGUUUCCACAAGAAUAAGUUCUUCUUUUUGUUGAGAAUAUUGUCUCUUUUCAUCUAUUGGCCAUUCCCUGAUGGUUGUGCUGCUGUCUUCUGCAGUAACACACACCUUCAAGUUUAAGUUCAGCUAUAUCCACCCAGCUACAGACUCUGUUUCUUGGCCUCCCUGGGAGCCAGAUAUAGCUAUAUGAGUACAUUCUGGCUCAUGGAACGUGAAGGGAAUUAUGUGUGCAAUCCUACCAAAAUGUCACAAUCUUUAAAAAGAAAGCUGCUCACCAUUCACUUUUUUUCCCCUGUUGGCUCAGACUGAAAUACAGAAGUUAUGAUAUGAGUUUGCUGCAAGUCUAAAUGACGAUCGUCUACACUAACUGAAGACACGACAAAGCAGCAGGAUGGAAUCCGCACCCCUGCAUGACUUCACAGAGCAGAACUACUCUGAUAGUCUUCCACCUGAGGCUGUUAUGAGAGAGAAUAAUCAGCUUCCAUUUUUGCUUGAAGAACUGUAUUGUUAGAUCUCUUGGUUAAAGUAGCACAGACUGUAAGCUAUUUAAUACAUAAUCAUUAUUUACUGAAAUAUAUGCAAUUCAAAAUGCAGACAAAUCAUUGUAUUCUAUUUCUAUCACCAUUUAAAGAAUCAUAAUCUUUUGUAGUUUAUAUAUUUUUGCUUUUUCUUAAACUUACACUGAUAGAUGAUUUUCCAUGGUGGAUUAUUGGUCUCUUUCCCCCAUAGGAUAUGAAAUGUUGAGGGCUAGAUUUGGUGCACCCCCAGAACUUGGUGUCAAAGUCAGAAAACUGUGCCCUUCAAAUUGCAUGCAAUUAGAAUCAACAAAAAAAUUGAAAUUAUUACCUUCAGAAGCAACAUUCUGAAAUAUAACUUAUGGACAUAUUGCUGAUGAGAAUUUGGUUUCUCUGAACUCUUAUUAAGAACACUAAACCAUAGCUCGUGAAUUUACGAGCUAAUUAUGUGCCACCAAUAGAACUGUGGCGCUUAAAAGGGAUAUAAACAUUUUAGAGAGAACAACAGUGUGAAUUUGUAUGUAGAGUUGUACAGUCUUAUAGAGGGGUAGGCCAAAACAAAUGUCACAAUGCCAGUUGGUAUAGGCACAAAAACAGGUACUAUUGGGGGAUAAUCAGAGGGGCAAUGAGAUGAAAGAUGCUGUCCUCUCACACUCUGCUUUCCUUGAAGAGGCUUGCAAGGGUGAAACUACGAUGGGAAACUGCAAAAGACACUGUGCUCAGGAAAGGGGCGCUGUCCGCCUCUGCUUCUAAUUUUUUAUAGGAUUGGUGUGAGAAGGGCCUUGCAAAUGAGUGUGCUGAGGGUUGGAUAAGUAGUCAAACUAGCCACCAGCCGUUCACGGGGAAGUUUCCCCCAAAGCCUGGGAAUAUUGUUUGUUCAAGAGUUGUUUACACAGCGAUGAUAAUAUCUGAAACCCUGUGGGUGACUGACACCUUUGCAGUCCAUUCCAUUGGGGUGAAGGGGAGUUUUAUUGUUUUUUAAAUGUAUCUACUUAAGAUGGUAUCUAUUGAUUCUGUAUUCUGAAAUAUGCACAUAUUAGCACAUGUAUACAUGUACCUCUCAACUUCUAUCCUCCAAACACCAGAAUUUUCUUAGGUUUUCGUCCUUACAUUAUUCAUACUUACCAAUACCUUUUCUCUGAAAUAGUUAUAAAAGAUUCUCCAUCAAGAAUUAUUUAUUUAGAUUAAUCUCUUGCUCAGCUUAAUUUCAAUAUGGAAUAUAUAUGUACAUAUACAUAUAUAUUUUGCCCCCAGUAAAUUCACAUGGGUGCUUUAUUUCAGUCCUGGUAUUCUUUUAAAAAAACACUUUUACUUAUACAAACUGAUUUAAUCAUUCUUGUAUGUAAAUUUGUUAGUUUCUCCCCUUACAUUCAUAUCUGAUGUUCAAUAACUUCACCAUGAAUUUUGUUUUCUGGAAUAGUAUUCAUUUUUGACUCACAAACUCGGCUUUCUGCACUUCAUUUACAUCUUUAAAAUUUUUUUUGCUCUGUUUACUCUUAUCUUCUCCAUAUUUUAGAUCUCGUUUUGCUUAUCCCACAUCUACCAUUCCCCUUAUCAUUUUCAUUUUUUGUUCCUUUCCAGGUAUAUUCAUUUAAACAUGAUUUUCUCUGUGUAGUGGAAAUGGCCCACACAGCUGUUUUUCUUUCUCCAUUGCCUGUCCACCUCUCUUUCCAUUCUUCCUUGUUCCAAAAAUAGAAUCAUUAUUUGGGUCUCCCAGUGCUAUUUGAAUUGAGGAAAAUCUAUAAUUGUUAAAGAUCUUGAUAAGUAUGUAUCAUCUCUUGGUAUACUUCAUCAAUUUGGUCCAAAAUGUACUGUCUUAAGCAAAUAGCUUUCAGGGAAACUGUGUUUUAAUUUCAGCAGUUUCCUAGUUGCAUUGUAGAUAACAUUUUUUUAUCUUUGUGUUCAUUUUGAUAGACUUCUCUUUGGUGGGGAAAAAAAUAGAAUAAGCAUGGCUUUCAUUAGUCGCAUUUUACCGGAUAUCAUUAAUACAAAUUGUUUCAGUUUCCUUAACCUUAGACAAAGGUAGGAAAGCCUAUGAAAUCCUAAUUCCCAUAAAGGAGAAUUCAGAGGAGACAAACAUCCCAUGAUGCCAUAUUUAGUUGCCUAGUAGAGAGACAAGUUUAAAAAUAAAAAAGGCAGCAUAGUCUUACCAUAUAAUCCAGCAAUUGCACUUCUAGAUAUUUAUCCAAUUGAUUUAAAAAUUUAUCUAUACACAAAAAUCUGCCAAGUGAAUGGAUAAAUAAACUGCAGCAUAUAAUACAAUGGAUUACUUUUCAGUGAUAAAAAGAUAUGAAUUAUCAAGCCAUGAGGAGACAUGGAGAAAACUUAAAUAUAUAUUGCUGUGUGAAAGAGGCCAUUCUGAAGUGUAUGAUUCCAAUUAUAUGACAUUCUGGAAAAGACAAAAACUAUAGAGACAGUAAAAAGAUCAGUGGGUGCCAAAAAAGAUUAGGAGUUUGGGAGUAGAGGGGAAGUGUUGAAUAAUCAAGGCACAGGAGAUUUUUAGGAUGGUGAAACUAUUCUAUAAGAUCAUAUAAUAGUGGGUACACAACAUUAUGCAUUUGUGAAAACAAAUAAAAUUGUGGGUAACUUAGUAGAUGGAGAGGAGAAAGCAAUCUCCCAUGCAGAGGAAGUACAAAUAAUUUACGUAGAUUCUUUGCCCUCAAGCAGAGAGAGUGUAAUUCCUCAUUCCUUAAGUGUGGGCUGCAGUUUUGACUUCCUUCCAAAGAGUACAGCAUGAAAAGGGGCAAAACAAAGUAACUUUACAGUGGAGAAAUAUAACAAUUACUACCUCAGCCAGGUAAUGAAGGUCUAUAUCAUCAGUAAUGUUGAUUGCUUGCACUCUUGAUAUGAUAUGAUGAAAAUAGUGCUUUAUCUCUGUAACCUUCUUGUUUCAAUCUAUAACUGAAGUCUAAUCAUGAGACAAACAUAGGACAAAUUCCAUUAGAGAGAUAUCUUACAAAAUAUCUGACUAGUGCUCCUCAAAAUAGUCAGCAUCCCUGAAAACAAGAAAAGUCUGAUAAAUUGUCAUAGCCAAAAAGAACCUAAGGAGACACGAUGACUAAAUAUAAUGUGGUAUCAUGAAUAAGAUCCUGGAACAGAAAAGGGAUAUUAACUAAAAACUAAGAAAAUGUGAAUCACAAUAGACUGUAGUUACCAAUAAUGUAUCAAUAUUGACUCAUUAAUUAUAACAAAUAUACCUACUGGUGAAAUAUGUUAAUAAUGGGAGAAUCUGGGUAUAUUGUAUGUUGGAAAUCUGUACUAUCUUCUUGACUUUUUUUUUUUUCAUUUAAAACUGUUAUGGUGGAGAUAGUUUUAAAAUUUUCUCUUACCUUCUAAAAGGAAAUAUUUUUGUCAACUUUUGUUUGGCUGUAUCUCCUUCAAAUUCUCCUCCCUUUCCUACCAUAACUCUUCCAAGUCACGCUGUUGGUACAUGUGGGAUGUGAAGAAUGCUAACAUUAAGAGAAAAGUCAAAAGAAGAGAUGAAGGAUAUCAAAGAGUGCACAACUCUGCUAGACCUAGUUGGGAUUGGCAGAAAAACAUGGACAGAAUAGUUCAUUUCCCGUGAUGAAGCCAUGCCUAUGACAAAAAAGAUUAAAAAGAGAUUAUACCAGACAAUUGUUGGAUCACAUUAUUUAUCUCCUUGAAUUCAACAUAGAAUUUACAUUCAAAGAGUGAGAUAUUUAUUCCAUUUCUCAUUCUUUAUAGAAUAAAGGAGUUGAUGUAUGACGUAAAAUAAUCUGUCCUUCUUGCAAAAUGACAGAAGCUUUCAAAUGAUUUUGCAGUUUUGCUCUGGUGGAAAAAGAAAAUUAAUGAUCAUCGUAGUGACCAUAAAAAUAUUUUUUUGAUUGGGAAAGAUUCAGUGACAUUGAACCGAGUAAUAGUACCAAUUGCUAAAUUCUCAUUCUUAGAGUCCAUCAGAGGAAUGUUGAAAACUUGAUUAUAUUAAGUGACAAGAGAGAAAGAAGCUUUAGGACCAGUGGAAAAAAACUACAAAAAUAAUUGAAUUCUUACACUAUAGUUUAAACCUAUCUAACAGAGUAAUGGAGUUCAAGAAAAAAAAAAUUACUUCUAAAUAAGACUCAAAAUAUUUUCUACACAUAAGUGGCUGCAAAGUGGCCUGCAAAAGAGAAAAAGAAUGACCUCUGUGCAUGGGUAUCAUACUUUCUGCAAGAGUAAAAAGCCAUUCAGAAUCCCUCAGUCCAUCCCACAUGCCACAAAACUAGUUGGUCAAGGACUAUGAAUCUACUGAAGCCUCAAACACAUAAUUGAACAAUUAAACUUUCACGGUUCAAUUUUAAGAGCUCUGAAUGUCUCCAUUAUUUGCCAGAGGAAGAAUGGUGAGAGGACUACUUUUUCUCAACUACUUUUUUUCCCUCUGAUCUGCUUGACUACUUCCAUUACUUGAUUGUCAUGAAAACUGUAUCAGCGUCAUUUGAAAGAAUUCUCUUGGAAACAAAUAUUAAAACAGAUUUAUUGGAUAAUUAUCAUUAAACUAAUUUGAGAAAAGUAAAA